rnacentral:rRNA from 1 species
UACAGAGGUCUCAAGCGUUGUUCGGAUUCAUUGGGCGUAAAGGGUGCGUAGGUGGCGCGGUAAGUCGGGUGUGAAAUUUCGGAGCUUAACUCCGAAACUGCAUUCGAUACUGCCGUGCUCGAGGACUGGAGAGGAGACUGGAAUUUACGGUGUAGCGGUGAAAUGCGUAGAUAUCGUAAGGAAGACCAGUGGCGAAGGCGGGUCUCUGGACAGUUCCUGACGCUGAGGCACGAAGGCCAGGGGGAGCAAACGGG